GUGCCAGCCGCCGCGGUAAUACGUAGGGUGCAAGCGUUAAUCGGAUUUACUGGGCGUAAAGCGUGCGCAGGCGGCUUCGCAAGUCAGGUGUGAAAGCCCCGGGCUUAACCUGGGAAUUGCGCUUGAAACUAUGGAGCUCGAGUGCGGCAGAGGGGGGUGGAAUUCCACGUGUAGCAGUGAAAUGCGUAGAGAUGUGGAGGAACACCGAUGGCGAAGGCAGCCCCCUGGGCCUGCACUGACGCUCAGGCACGAAAGCGUGGGGAGCAAACAGGAUUAGAUACCCUGGUAGUCCACGCCCUAAACUAUGUCAACUAGUUGUUGGUAGGGUUAAACCUAUCAGUAACGCAGCUAACUCGUGAAGUUGACCGCCUGGGGAGUACGGCCGCAAGGUUGAA
rnacentral:rRNA from 1 species